AACGAACGCUGGUGGCGUGCUUAACACAUGCAAGUCGAACGAGAAAGUUUCCUUCGGGAAAUUAGUAAAGUGGCGCAAGGGUGAGUAACACGUGAAUAAUCUGCCCUCGAGAUCGGGAUAACAUGGUGAAAACUAUGCUAAUACCGGAUAAGACCACAUUUUAAAAGAAAUGCGGUAAAAGAAGUCUCAAUCUUUACUCGAGGAUGAGUUCGCGCAACAUUAGCUUGUUGGUGAGAUAAAAGCUCACCAAGGCUACGAUGUUUAGCCGGCCUGAGAGGGUGAACGGCCACACUGGAACUGAGACACGGCCCAAACUCCUACGGGAGGCAGCAGUAGGGAAUCUUGCACAAUGGAGGAAACUCUGAUGCAGCGAUGCCGCGUGAGUGAAG
rnacentral:rRNA from 1 species